rnacentral:rRNA from 1 species
GACAGAGGGUGCAAACGUUGUUCGGAAUUACUGGGCGUAAAGCGCACGUAGGCGGGUUGCUAAGUCAGGGGUGAAAUCCUGGAGCUCAACUCCAGAACUGCCCUUGAUACUGGCGGCCUUGAGUCCGGGAGAGGUGAGUGGAACUGCGAGUGUAGAGGUGAAAUUCGUAGAUAUUCGCAAGAACACCAGUGGCGAAGGCGGCUCACUGGCCCGGUACUGACGCUGAGGUGCGAAAGCGUGGGGAGCAAACAGGG